CGAAAGGGGAUGGCUGCAUGAUGAUCUUGUUCUGAUCAAUUCUGAAAUAGGAAUGGAGGACUACUAUGGGUCGCUGUUGAGGAUGCUGGGUUACCUGACAGUAGUUUACUUGCCAGAUUUUAAAUUGGAGCUUAGCAUGAACUGAAGAGAGGAUACUUCAACAUGUAUGUGCUGAAAGGCAAAUUAAUUUGGAAGUUUAUUGUAACUGGUACACAGUAUUGGCAUUAAAAGCGCGAGCGCUGUGAGGGAAGCCAAGCAAGUUCCUGCUAGAUCGUGAAGAAAUACACUUUGUCUUAUGAGAUCAUCCGGAUUGUCAUCAAAAGCAAAGGUCCCUAAACAAGCAAAUUGCAUUUAUGUGCUCUGACAUCUUCGUGUUACUUUUAGUGGAAAGCAGUACAAAGUGUCAAUUUCACAUGCCAAUACUAAUUAUUCACCUAGCUUAUGCAAAUUAUCCAGCAUUUUCCGUUCAGAUAUG